rnacentral:rRNA from 1 species
GACGAACGCUGGCGGCGUGCCUAAUACAUGCGAGUUGAGCGCUGAAGGUUGUACUUGUACCAACUGGAUGAGCAGCGAACGGGUGAGUAACGCGUGGGGAAUCUGCCUUUGAGCGGGGGACAACAUUUGGAAACGAAUGCUAAUACCGCAUAAAAACUUUAAACACAAGUUUUAAGUUUGAAAGAUGCAAUUGCAUCACUCAAAGAUGAUCCCGCGUUGUAUUAGCUAGUUGGUGAGGUAAAGGCUCACCAAGGCGAUGAUACAUAGCCGACCUGAGAGGGUGAUCGGCCACAUUGGGACUGAGACACGGCCCAAACUCCUACGGGAGGCAGCAGUAGGGAAUCUUCGGCAAUGGACGAAAGUCUGACCGAGCAACGCCGCGUGAGUGAAGAAGGUUUUCGGAUCGUAAAACUCUGUUGGUAGAGAAGAACGUUGGUGAGAGUGGAAAGCUCAUCAAGUGACGGUAACUACCCAGAAAGGGACGGCUAACUACGUG